rnacentral:rRNA from 1 species
UACGUAUGGUGCAAGCGUUAUCCGGAUUUACUGGGUGUAAAGGGUGCGUAGGUGGCGUGGCAAGCCAGAAGUGAAAACCCGGGGCUCAACCCCGUGGAUUGCUUUUGGAACUGUUGGACUGGAGUGCAGGAGGGGUAAGCGGAAUUCCCAGUGUAGCGGUGAAAUGCUUAGAUAUUGGGAAGAACACCGGCGGCGAAGGCGGCUUACUGGACUGAAACUGACACUGAGGCUCGAAAGCGUGGGGAGCAAA